GUACACUCCUACGGGAGGCAGCAGUGGGGAAUAUUGGACAAUGGGCGCAAGCCUGAUCCAGCCAUGCCGCGUGAGUGAUGAAGGCCCUAGGGUUGUAAAGCUCUUUCACCGGUGAAGAUAAUGACGGUAACCGGAGAAGAAGCCCCGGCUAACUUCGUGCCAGCAGCCGCGGUAAUACGAAGGGGGCUAGCGUUGUUCGGAUUUACUGGGCGUAAAGCGCACGUAGGCGGACUAUUAAGUCAGGGGUGAAAUCCCGGGGCUCAACCCCGGAACUGCCUUUGAUACUGGUAGGCUUGAGUUCGAGAGAGGUGAGUGGAAUUCCGAGUGUAGAGGUGAAAUUCGUAGAUAUUCGGAGGAACACCAGUGGCGAAGGCGGCUCACUGGCUCGAUACUGACGCUGAGGUGCGAAAGCGUGGGGAGCAAACAGGAUUAGAAACCCUUGUAGUCCA
rnacentral:rRNA from 1 species